rfam:Ascaris suum AG02495, whole genome shotgun sequence.
GCGUCGGUGGUUCAGUGAUAGAAUGCUCGCGUGGCAAGCGAGCGGCUUGAGUUCAACUCCCGGCCGACGCA